rnacentral:tRNA from 1 species
CUCGUAGCUUAGCGGUAGAGCAAUGGUGCAUGAAGCCAAAGGUCCUGGGUUCAAUUCCCGGCGAG